rnacentral:lncRNA from 1 species
CGGUCUUCUCGUAGCGAACGCGGUAGUCGAAUUCGAUUUCGCAGGACCUGGCUAAGCAGACGACGAACCGGCCGUCGUCGGAGAGGGUGAAGUUGGUGACGGAGUCGGGCAAGAGGCCGCUCGGGAGGCCGUAUUUGGGGAGGAGGUCGUAGACGGUGGAGAGAGAGAGGGAGAGGGUCGUUGUGGUGAGAGAGAAGAGGAAGAGGGUUGAGAAAGAGAAGCGGUGGAGGGCCAUGCUUUGUUGGAGGAUUAGAGAAGAAGAAGGAGAGAGACUUCUGGAGAUUUUGAUGGGUUCUUCUCCCUUUUGUCACGCAAAUCCAACAAAAUUCAACUCAAAUCAAGUUUUUAAUGUUUUCAAACAUUUAAAAGUAUAUUAAAUUUAACCAUAAAUAUAUUUUUAUCACUAAUGUUCAAUAAAAUCAAAUUAAUAAUAUUAAAUAAAUUCAAUAUUUUAUAAGAGAAAAAGACCAAAAUAGCACUAAAUCAAGUUUUUGUUCCCAAACUAGCACUCAAGGUCAAAAGUCACAAAAAUAGCACUCAAGGGGUGGGGUUUAGGGUUUAGAAUUUAGGGUUUAGGGUUUAGAGUUUAAGUUUUAGGGUUUAGAGUUGAGAAGUGAGGUUUUGGGGAUAAGAUUUCAAAUUUUGAAAAAUAAAAAAAUUUAAAUUUUUCAAAAGAUAAAAUGCUAUUUUGGUCAUUUUAGUUUGUCUCCAUGAGGCGUUCACGCAUCAACGCCAAGUUCUCAUCGGAUAUAUCUUGGUAUAUCUUCCCAUGGUCGCAUUUCUACAAGCAACAACAAACUAUACAAGAUUAGUUUUGAGUCUUUUCUGGUUCACAUGGCAAAACCGGAGAGGCGGGAGAUUGUACCUUGAUCCACUUGCCAUACAAGUGGAGCCGCGUGAUCAUCACUCUUUCCGCAAGCUCCUGAUUUUCCUACAAGUAAGUUAAAAGACAAAGCUCUCAGAUGAGACAACAAAAGUACUCUUCUGUCUUGCCAUGUUGAUAUAUUUUCUAUACCAAGCUCUAAACAAGGCUGAAUCAAACAUAGUAUAGCACAACACAGAGUGUGGUUUUAUGAUAAGAACAAAACCUAUGAACUUGCUUAUUCUUAUUCCAAUUCCAUAAAGUGAGAAGAACUGUCAACACAAAGGCUGAUCCAAACCCUUUUAGUAAAAUAAUUUGCUGAGGUAAGUCUUGUAUAUAUAUACUAGAGUCCUCACUAACUGCUCUAUAACCACCCCACCAGAGCUACAAUCAGCUACAAACAGUCCUACGCUAGAUAUAGUAGAGACCUGCUGCUUAACUUAUUCAACUAGGCUUUAUAGGAUUACCUUGCCGAGUUUGCGGAGGAAACGUUUACCAUCGGUUGGUCUGUUUGAUACGACGUAACUGUUGUAAAACAAAAGCAUACACAUAAAGAUCAGAUGCCAAAAAAAUGAUCACCUAAGUGUUUUUGUUGAUGCAAUUCAUCCUUAUAAAGAACUUGGAGAGCAAUAAGAAACAACUCACUUAUAGAACCAAGUGUACCGGGGAGGAUUCAUUUCGUAGAGCUGAUGAAGAACCGUCCUCACAGCUUUAUAUGUAAAAUAGUUAAUAAGUUGCUGCAAAACAAGAAAAGUCAGAGACAUAAACAUUUUGACUCCUCUCAGAAACAAUCAUUCUCACCGUUUUGACAUCUCCAAAGGUAUCAUCGUAGUUCCCAGCAACGUCCUCGUUCACAAUCAAGAGCUUCCUUUUGCUCCUCCGAUUCGCUAUCCUCGGUACACGCUUCGAAGAAAGCCUGAAAACAAUGCCCGAGCCAGCAAAGGAGCUCCCCAGCUCCAGCUUUCUUGCACUGCCAAGGAUCUUCUUCUUGCUCCUCGUGUGAGCAUCCUUACAUAAACAUGAAUCCAUCACCGAUGAGCCAACAACAAACAGGGCACCCACCAUUACUCCAAACAAAAAAAGAUCAAAACUUUGACUGGGGAAAGCGAACUCCAAGAAAUCAAGAACACAGUAGGUGGAUCUAUGGUGAGAAUCAGACCAAGAACAAAACAGAGAAACAGAACAAAACAGAGAGAGAGAACACGAGUUGGGUGUGUAAGAUGGAAAAUGGCCGUUGAAUACUAGCCAGUCAAAAUCAGGGACAAGUGCUUUAGAUAUUUUAUUAUAUUUUUUUAAAAUUCUUAAACGCAACAAAGCAAAGGCAAAGUAGAAAACCACCGGGUGGGCUUUCGGGUUCACAUGGACACGUUUGUACUUAUUGUCUUCUUGUAACUUUGCGUAAAUGAGGAACAACACUAAAGUAAUGGACAACCUAUAUAGCACAUGGCCAUCUCAGAGGAAGAGAGUCGCAAUAGCCACGAGUUCGAGCUCAAUCUACACGUGAAUGGUCUCGAACUAAAAACGUGUUUUUAGUAUUAUAGUAUGUGAAUGUGUCAAAAAGACAAGUUUUUCGAUCGGAUCUAUGUGUAAUGAUUCUACUUGAAAUGACCUAUGUUGUUAGAAUGCACCAUCCACUGAGUUAUGACAUACAUGAUACAACUAAUAGUAGUAGGGAACUUGAACGGCCAGAGUCUUAUUUUGGUGGUGAUGAACGAACUCGGGAAACAUUUAGUCAUGUUGUCUAGAUACAGACCUUUUUUUUCGUGGAAACGAGUUUUAACAUUUGACAUUUCGUGGGAACGUAUUUGUACAAAGUUGACUGACUAACACUCGACUCCACCGUUAUGUGGUGUUGAGUGAUUGUUGAGAGUAAUCACUCGGUGAUUAGCAUCACAGCUUCAUUCAUCAUUCCUGGAAGCUGCCCUUUUCAAAAAGAAAACAAAAAGUUCUGUUAGUGCAGGUGCCUCAUCUAUUUCCUACAACCCAGCCUGGAUCACUUGCGAGUUGGCUGGUUUUAAAAGGAGCUAAGGCAAUAAACACUCGGAGAAACCAAACCAAAAGCCAUAACAUUUGAUCGAGGCUUGUGAAUAGCAUUCAAACAAACAGCAUUUCAGGUUUAUCAGCUACCUAUUAAGCUACCAAUACGAGCUAAAAGAUCAAAAAACGAACCCACUACUUUCAGUUUCAACAGAAUGUAGCACAUGUACAAUCCGAAAAACAGCAAUGAGAAAAAGUAUAAACUGCUGAUGUAUCUUCUCUCAUUAUCUCAAAAGAGAUGAUCUUUUAGCACCCUUUUCCAAGCUUUUUGCUUUUACCCUUUGUGGUUGGUUUGCUAUAAACUUUAAAGGAAAGCCUACAAUUACAUGAUGGUCAUUUACAAUCCCAAGCACCUAAACAGGUUCAAGUUUAAGAUCCACUAAAAGUUUGAACCCAGAAUCUAAUCCAUAUCAUUCUCAAAUACAUCCUCUAGAACCCUAAACAAAACCCGUAAGCUGCUGCCAUCUACACAUCAUGGCGUCAAUUGAUUCGUUAUUACCAAAAAGUUCAAAUUAGAUUACCCAUCAAAACUCAAUAAAGUUGCCAACUUUGAGAUCAAUUUCAAAAACCCAGAAACGCAGCAUCCUAAAGAAAUCAUCUUUACCUGGAGAAAACUCUUCCAAGAACAUCCAGAGACGCCGCACGAAUGCACAGUCUUGAACUGGUCAAUACCAAGCUUCUUGUUGAUAAACCCAACCUUGAAGUAGAUCGAAUCCGUGGGAGGCAGAUCGACCUUGAUCUCAUCCACAUCCAACCAGAUAAAGAGCCGCUUCACCUGAAUGCCCUCGAGCUCCGUGAUGGACCCGUAGCUGAUCCGUCCGGACACGGUCUUCUCGUAGCGAACGCGGUAGUCGAAUUCGAUUUCGCAGGACCUGGCUAAGCAGACGACGAACCGGCCGUCGUCGGAGAGGGUGAAGUUGGUGACGGAGUCGGGCAAGAGGCCGCUCGGGAGGCCGUAUUUGGGGAGGAGGUCGUAGACGGUGGAGAGAGAGAGGGAGAGGGUCGUUGUGGUGAGAGAGAAGAGGAAGAGGGUUGAGAAAGAGAAGCGGUGGAGGGCCAUGCUUUGUUGGAGGAUUAGAGAAGAAGAAGGAGAGAGACUUCUGGAGAUUUUGAUGGGUU